rnacentral:rRNA from 1 species
UACAGAGGUCUCAACCGUUGUUCGGAUUCAUUGGGCGUAAAGGGUGCGUAGGCGGUCGCGCAAGUCGGAUGUGAAAUCUCAGGGCUCAACCCUGGGAUGCCGACCGAUACUGUCGGACUAGAGUUCGGAAGAGGCGAGUGGAAUUCCCGGUGUAGCGGUGAAAUGCGCAGAUAUCGGGAGGAACACCAAUGGCGAAGGCAGCUCGCUGGGACGUUACUGACGCUGAGACGCGAAAGCGUGGGGAGCAAACAGG